UCUAUACCACUACUAUACCGCUUCUACUUCCCGUCGGCGACGGGCGACCGGCGAACCGGUUAUUUCAUUAUUUGAAGGCCGUGUCCCGCUCCUGGCGGUCCUGCAUUCCUGCCGUCCUGCUCUUUUGGCGUCGGUCACCAAAUAAUGAUUGCUUGUUGUUGAUGUAUAUAGUUGAUGGACCAUGUGGUUUCUAUGUCACUUGAAUGUUCCAUAGUGUUUUUUCUACUAGUUUUCAUUAUCACAGGAUUUUGGUCGUCAGUUUUUACGAUUCAACUGGAUAAAAUUGUCCUCAUAUGAUGAAGCCUGAUCAUACAGCGUUGGUGGAAAUACCAUCCUGUCUUCUCCUUUAUUGUAUAUUCUGUCCGAGCGCUACUGCUGUCAUAGGUAAGUAAUCAUUAACUAUUAUAGAGUUGGCUACAACGAGGCAUGCGAGCCGCAUGUGGCUCUUGAAAUCAAGCUUAGAGUAAAAUUAUUUAUUAUUAUUAUUAUUAUUUUAUAAACAUCUUUUAACAAUGUGGCUCGCUUAGAAUUAGAUUCAUAAAUUUGCGGCUUUCAAAUAUUAUUACUAAAUUAGUAAUAAUUAAGUUAGUAAUUACUAACUACUUAUAAUAAUAUAAUAAUAUUACCCACUUUUUGAAUAGAUUAAUGAGUGUUAAAUUAAUUAAUUAAACUCAAAACUAGGUAGGUUUAGCUAUAAUUUAUAAUUUUUAACUUACUUUUGUAUUUAGUAAUUAAUUCAAAUGAAAUAUUAAUAAAAUUGAGAGUUUUAAUUUGUGUUAUCUACCUAACUACGUAUACCUUCACGUUUCAAUUAAUUUACCAUAGACAUGAUAAUUGAUGUUAAUACAAUAACAAUUAUAUUAUUGUUGUAUUAAAUUACAAAUUUCUAAUAAUAACUCCAAUUGUAUUGUCAUUAUUUUUGUCUCAAAACUUAUAAUACUAAUAUAAUAUAUACACCUGAUAUACUAAAUACUUAAAAUGUCUUAUAUAUGGUACACUUACAUCAGACACAAAUCCAUAACAUUUUAACAAAAUAAUAAUAGUAUUACUAAGAGAGAACAACAUUACACAUGCAGGUAUUUGUUUGAACUUACGGCAUAAAUUUAGUUGCCAUGUGUAUUUUUUAUUUGAUACAUUUAUUCCCUGUUUUACAAUGAGUUGAGAAUUAUGAUGCAAAAAAAAGUCUGUUAAAAUCAUUAAUUUUAGGUAGCCUUCCGAAGUUUUCGAUUUCCAUGUUUAACA